AAACUUUCAACAACGGAUCUCUUGGUUCUGGCAUCGAUGAAGAACGCAGCGAAAUGCGAUAAGUAAUGUGAAUUGCAGAAUUCAGUGAAUCAUCGAAUCUUUGAACGCACAUUGCGCCCUUUGGUAUUCCGGAGGGCAUGCCUGUUCGAGCGUCAUU
rnacentral:rRNA from 1 species